GAAAAAUCUAAAGAAAUCAGCCAAGACAGAAAGUCUGGUUCAUCCUUGGGAGCAAUGUCUAAAUAACUGAAGAUACCACUUUCAUCUGUACAAACAAUAGUAUGCAAGUAUAAACACCAUGGGACCCGUCAUACCGCUCAGGAAGGAGACAUGUUCUGUCUCCUAGAGAUGAAUGUACUUUGGGUGUACACAGAGAUGGGACAAGUUCUAACCAAUCCCCAUCACCCACGGUUUAAGUUCCCAGAGACUGAAGAGGAGGCUGAUAUUCCGUAGACCUCUUCCCACAUCAGAGACUACGGACAGGCCUUUCUCUGUGGACCACUUUGAUGACUACCAGAAGCACUUCACUGUCGUGAACUUGCAGAGGGGGUCCAGCUCAAACAGGUUCACUACGAUGAAUUCAUACCCAUGUUUGAAAAGCAGUAUCCAUGGAAAGCGGUUGAGAGGAAGUGACACGGGACUAUGCUUAUGGCAAGAGCAACCAUCUGGUGAAGAGAUGUCGAGUGUUGCAAUGGAUACCAGCUGACUUGGAAGGGGUCAGCACUCAGACCCCUGAACCCUCUGAUCUCUACUACGAAGUAGGGAGACCUGAAACAUGUUUCAUGUGUCAAUACAGUCAGCCAAUUAAUUACUUACUCAAUGUCUUGAGGAAGUUCAUAAGUGAAAAGUCUAUACAUGAAACCUGCAGAGGAAGUCAAAUUAAUUACACUUUGAACAAUGGUUAAUG
ensembl:lncRNA